UAACCCCUCAAGCCUUGCUUGGUGUUGGGGCCUGCGGUCACCGGCAGCCCUUAAAAUCAGUGGCGGCGCCUUCGGGCUCUGAGCGUAGUAAUCCUUCUCGCUACAGGGCCCUGGUGGGUGCUGGCCAUCAACCCCUCCUUUCUCU
rnacentral:misc_RNA from 1 species